rnacentral:tRNA from 1 species
GCUUGUAGCUCAGGUGGUUAGAGCGCACGCCUGAUAAGCGUGAGGUCGGAGGUUCAAGUCCUCCCAAGCC